rnacentral:rRNA from 1 species
CAGUCGCCGCGGUAAUACGUAGGGUGCAAGCGUUAAUCGGAAUUACUGGGCGUAAAGCGUGCGCAGGCGGCUUUGCAAGACAGAUGUGAAAUCCCCGGGCUUAACCUGGGAACUGCGUUUGUGACUGCAUGGCUAGAGUGCGGCAGAGGGGGAUGGGAUUCCGCGUGUAGCAGUGAAAUGCGUAGAUAUGCGGAGGAACACCGAUGGCGAAGGCAAUCCCCUGGGCCUGCACUGACGCUCAUGCACGAAAGCGUGGGGAGCAAACAGGAUUAGAUACCCCUGUAGUCCCUGUCUCUUAUAC